rnacentral:rRNA from 1 species
AUUGAACGCUGGCGGCAGGCCUAACACAUGCAAGUCGAGCGAGAGGCGGACGGGUGAGUAAUGUCUGGGAAACCGCCUGAUGGAGGGGGAUAACGACUGGAAACGGUAGCUAAUCCCGCAUACCAUUAGAUGUGCUCAGAUGGGAUUAGCUGGUAGGUGGGGUAACUGCUCACCUAGGCGACGAUCCCUAGCUGGUCUGAGAGGAUGACCAGCCACACUGGAACGGUGACACGGUCCAGACUCCUACGGGAGGCAGAGGUGGGAACUAGUGCAAAAUGGGCUCAAGCCUGAUGCAGCCAUGCCGCGUGUGUGAAGAAGGCCUUCGGGUUGUAAAGCACUUUCAGCGGGGAGGCGUUACCCGCAGAAGAAGCACCGGCUAACUCCGUGCCAGCCGCCGCGGUAAUAC